rnacentral:rRNA from 1 species
UACAGAGGUCUCAAGCGUUGUUCGGAUUCAUUGGGCGUAAAGGGUGUGUAGGUGGCGCCGUAAGUCGGGUGUGAAAUUUCGGAGCUUAACUCCGAAACUGCAUUCGAUACUGCGGUGCUUGAGGACUGGAGAGGAGACUGGAAUUCAUGGUGUAGCAGUGAAAUGCGUAGAGAUCAUGAGGAAGACCAGUGGCGAAGGCGGGUCUCUGGACAGUUCCUGACACUGAGACACGAAGGUCAGGGGAGCAAACGGG